AUUGAACGCUGGCGGCACGCUUUACACAUGCAAGUCGAACGGUAACAGGUUAAGCUGACGAGUGGCGAACGGGUGAGUAAUGCAUCGGAACGUGCCCGAUCGUGGGGGAUAACGCAGCGAAAGCUGCGCUAAUACCGCAUGCGAUCUGAGGAUGAAAGCGGGGGACCGUAAGGCCUCGCGCGAUCGGAGCGGCCGAUGUCAGAUUAGGUAGUUGGUGGGGUAAAGGCUCCCCAAGCCAACGAUCUGUAGCUGGUCUGAGAGGACGACCAGCCACGCUGGGACUGAGACACGGCCCAGACUCCUACGGGAGUCAGCAGUGGGUAAUUUUGGACAAUGGGCGAAAGCCUGAUCCAGCAAUGCCGCGUGCAGGAAGAAGGCCUUCGGGUUGUAAACUGCUUUUGUACGGAGCGAAAAGGCUCUCUCUAAUACAGGGGGCUCAUGACGGUACCGUAAGAAUAAGCACCGGCUAACUACGUGCCAGCCGCCGCGGUAA
rnacentral:rRNA from 1 species